rnacentral:rRNA from 1 species
UACGUAGGGACCAAGCGUUGUUCGGAUUUACUGGGCGUAAAGGGCGCGUAGGCGGCAAAUCAAGUCAUCUGUGAAAUCUCCGGGCUUAACUCGGAACGGUCAGAUGAUACUGCUUUGCUAGAGUGCGGAAGGGGCAAUCGGAAUUCUCGGUGUAGCGGUGAAAUGCGUAGAUAUCGAGAGGAACACCUGAGGUGAAGACGGGUUGCUGGGCCGACACUGACGCUGAGGCGCGAAAGCCAGGGGAGCAAACGGG